rnacentral:rRNA from 1 species
UCUAAGGAGACUGACCGGUGGACAAACCGGGAGGAAGGUGGGGAUGACGUCAAGUCAUCAUGGCCCUUACGGCCUGGGCUACACACGUGCUACAAUGGUCGGUACAAAGGGUUGCCAAGCCGCGAGGUGGAGCUAAUCCCACAAAACCGAUCGUAGUCCGGAUCGCAGUCUGCAACUCGACUGCGUGAAGUCGGAAUCGCUAGUAAUCGUGAAUCAGAAUGUCACGGUGAAUACGUUCCCGGGCCUU